UUCAUUUACAUGAUGAUUUCAUAGUUCAACCGAAUUAUAUUGAGGAAUGUACUAUUAAAAUGUCUUUCGCUCCUAUCUGAUAUUUAGAUUUC